rnacentral:rRNA from 1 species
UACGGAGGAUCCGAGCGUUAUCCGGAUUUAUUGGGUUUAAAGGGUGCGUAGGUGGUUUGAUAAGUCAGCGGUGAAAGUUUGCAGCUUAACUGUAAAAAUGCCGUUGAAACUGUCGGACUUGAGUGUAAAUGAGGUAGGCGGAAUGCGUGGUGUAGCGGUGAAAUGCAUAGAUAUCACGCAGAACUCCGAUUGCGAAGGCAGCUUACUAAGCUACAACUGACACUGAAGCACGAAAGCGUGGGGAUCAAACAGGAUUAGAUACCCGGGUA